rnacentral:rRNA from 1 species
UACAGAGGUGGCAAGCGUUGUUCGGAAUUACUGGGCGUAAAGGGUGCGUAGGCGGGUCUUUAAGUCAGGGGGGAAAUCCUGGAGCUCAACUCCAGAACUGCCUUUGAUACUGAAGAUCUUGAGUUCGGGAGAGGUGAGUGGAACUGCGAGUGUAGAGGUGAAAUUCGUAGAUAUUCGCAAGAACACCAGUGGCGAAGGCGGCUCACUGGCCCGAUACUGACGCUGAGGCACGAAAGCGUGGGGAGCAAACAGG